AUCUUAUCAAGAGUGGCGGAGGGACUGGCCCUGUGAAGCCCGGCAACCUGUCUGUAAAAGGAUGUACGGUGCCAAAUCCAGGCAGAUGAGAG
rfam:Firmicutes bacterium CAG:272 genomic scaffold, scf280